UUCGUAGGCGGUGCGGUAAGUCGGAAGUGAAAUCUCUGGGCUUAACUCAGAGGCUGCUUUCGAAACUACCGUGCUAGAGUGCGGGAGAGGCGAGUGGAAUUGCAGGUGUAGCGGUGAAAUGCGUAGAUAUCUGCAGGAACACCCGUGGCGAAGGCGGCUCGCUGGACCGCAACUGACGCUGAGGAACGAAAGCUAGGGGAGCAAACAGGAUUAGAUACCCUGGUAGUCCUAGCCCUAAACCAUCAGGACUUGGGGUGCCCGCGUUGGCGGGUCGUCCCGGAGCUAACGCGUUAAGUCCUGCGCCUGGGGAGUACGGUCGCAAGGCUGAA
rnacentral:rRNA from 1 species